rnacentral:rRNA from 1 species
GUAGGUGGCAAGCGUUGUCCGGAAUUAUUGGGCGUAAAGCGCGCGCAGGCGGUCCUUUAAGUCUGAUGUGAAAGCCCACGGCUCAACCGUGGAGGGUCAUUGGAAACUGGGGGACCUGAGUACAGAAGAGGAAAGCGGAAUUCCAAGUGUAGCGGUGAAAUGCGUAGAGAUUUGGAGGAACACCAGUGGCGAAGGCGGCUUUCUGGUCUGUAACUGACGCUGAGGCGCGAAAGCGUGGGGAGCAAACAGGGAUUAGAUACCCUGGUAGUCCACGCCGUAAACGAUGAGUGCUAAGUGUUAGGGGGUUUCCCGCCCCUUAGUGCUGCAGCUAACGCAUUAAGCACUCCGCCUGGGGAGUACGGCCGCAAGGCUG